GGGGGCCCCCAUCGUGAUGGACACUAGCUGUCCGGAGCGUGCAGGGGCCGCAGAGACCAGGGGGAAGCGACUGUUUACUAAAAACACAGGUCCGUGCGAAGUCGCAAGACGAUGUAUACGGACUGACUCCUGCCCGGUGCUGGAAGGUUAAGAGGACCGGUUAGCCUGUAAGGGCGAAGCUGAGAAUUUAAGCCCCAGUAAACGGCGGUGGUAACUAUAACCAUCCUAAGGUAGCGAAAUUCCUUGUCGGGUAAGUUCCGACCUGCACGAAUGGAGUAACGACUUCCCCGCUGUCUCAACCAUAAACUCGGCGAAAUUGCAGUACGAGUAAAGAUGCUCGUUACGCGCAGCAGGACGGAAAGACCCCGAGACCUUUACUAUAGUUUGGUAUUGGUGUUCGGAGUGGCUUGUGUAGGAUAGGUGGGAGACGUUGAAGCCCGGACGCCAGUUCGGGUGGAGUCAUCGUUGAAAUACCACUCUGGUCACUUUGGACAUCUAACUUCGGCCCGUAAUCCGGGUCAGGGACAGUGCCUGAUGGGUAGUUUAACUGGGGCGGUUGCCUCCUAAAAAGUAACGGAGGCGCCCAAAGGUUCCCUCAGCCUGGUUGGCAAUCAGGUGUCGAGUGUAAGUGCACAAGGGAGCUUGACUGUGAGAGAGACAUCUCGAGCAGGGACGAAAGUCGGGACUAGUGAUCCGGCGGUACAUUGUGGAAUGGCCGUCGCUCAACGGAUAAAAGGUACCUCGGGGAUAACAGGCUGAUCUUGCCCAAGAGUCCAUAUCGACGGCAUGGUUUGGCACCUCGAUGUCGGCUCGUCGCAUCCUGGGGCUGGAGUAGGUCCCAAGGGUUGGGCUGUUCGCCCAUUAAAGCGGUACGCGAGCUGGGUUUAGAACGUCGUGAGACAGUUCGGUCCCUAUCCGCUGCGCGCGCAGGAAAUUUGAGAAGGGCUGUCCUUAGUACGAGAGGACCGGGACGGACGAACCUCUGGUGUGUCAGUUGUACUGCCAAGUGCACCGCUGAUUAGCUACGUUCGGAUGGGAUAACCGCUGAAAGCAUCUAAGCGGGAAGCUCGCUUCGAGAUGAGAUUUCCAUACACUUUAUUGUGUGAGAGGCCCCCAGCCAGACCACUGGGUUGAUAGGCCGGAUGUGGAAGCGAGGACUAACGACUCGUGAAGCUGACCGGUACUAAUAGGCCRAYAACUUACA
rnacentral:rRNA from 1 species